AUCUACUGCCAUAUCACCCGGAACAUGAACACAGCUGAUCUCAUCUCAUCUUGGAAGCUAAGCAGGGUCAGGCCUGCUUAGUACUUGGAUGACAGAGGGACAGCUGGACUUCGGAGGAG
rnacentral:rRNA from 1 species